rnacentral:lncRNA from 1 species
AAAAAGAGAAAAAAAAAGAGAUCAUGAAGCACUUAUCUAGAAGUAUUAUGGUUGGCAAAAAGCAUGCUCAAAAGAGCGAUAAAAGAAAAUAUAUGAGCCAAUGAACCUCAACAAGAACGGUGUCCAGAAGAAAUACCCCCGAGUUUUAAAUUUGAACAACAGUACGUGGGUAACAACACGAAAUCUGAGCUUGAACCCCUAGUAUCUCCUUUUUUUGUUUUAAC